CCUACAGGAGGCAGCAGUGGGGAAUAUUGCACAAUGGGGGGAACCGUGAUGCAGCAACGCCGCGUGGGUGAAGAAGUACUCCGGUAUGUAAAGCCCUGUCAGCAGGGAAGAAGAAAGACGGUACCUGACUAAGAAGCCCCGGCUAACUACGUGCCAGCAGCAGCGGUAAUACGUAGGGGGCAAGCGUUAUCCGGAUUUACUGGGUGUAAAGGGAGCAUAGACGGCUGUGCAAGUCUGAAGGUAAAGCCCAGGGCUCAACCCUGGGACUGCUUUGGAAACUGUGGAGCUAGAGUGCUGGAGAGGUAAGUGGAAUUCCUAGUGUAGCGGUGAAAUGCGUAGAUAUUAGGCGGAACACCAGUGGCGAAGGCGGCUUACUGGACAGUAACUGACGUUGAGGCUCGAAAGCGUGGGGAGCAAACAGGAUUAGAUACCCGAGUAGUC
rnacentral:rRNA from 1 species